rnacentral:lncRNA from 1 species
ACGAUAUGGCUACCCGCUACUGAUCCGCAGUAGGCUACCGCUCAACCGCUGGUUUAUCCGUUGAUGUCGUAAAGUAAACGUAAACUCGUAAACAAAACCUUGCGGUUAAUGUUUGGGCAAUGGGAGCUUGGGAUGAAGAAGUUGUGCUGUGUUUCUUUCAGUAAAGCAAGAUUUGCAUAGAAAGGUGAUGGAAUAGUUCAUGAAUAAUUUUACGACAAGAAGCUGCCAUACUACGCCACACUUUGACAUGAGUAUCUGAAAUUCCAGUGAACCAGUCAGUUCACCAGCAACAGCUUCUAGUCCUGGCAAAAAGUCAGAAAACAAUGUAAGAAGAAACGACAACAAUUUAUCAUUUCAGGAGACCACAACAGAUCUAUGGCUCUAUGCAUCAAACAGGGCAAACAAGAGUUUGCAGUCAGCAUACUCAGUACUCUUUUUUCUAAAGACGAAAUGAAAUCCUUGAAAAUGUCUUGGGGCUGUUGUCACUUUGUCCAACAGCGCCCUGGAAGAACUGCUACUUUGCAUCACCACAAUUUAAAACAUUCCAGCCACAGAGUUCCAGCACAGCAUAUGCUUUACAGAUAUGAGCUAACUACAACAUUUGAUAUGAAUUCACAGGUAAUCAUUUGCUAACGGAAUAUGCUGGAUAUCACUAAGUGGCUAAAAUUAUGUCUGCUAGAUGGCGCGAGUGUCUUCGUUACUCAAGAGUCCAGACGAAAUUCCGCCAUUUCCUAAAACACUGAUUGGAAACCGCAUGUUGAAAACGUAUCGUUGGAUUGGAUACUUCUUAAUACGGCGUACUUUUCUUUCUUGACAUUUUUAUUCGUAAUAAUGGUAUUUAUCUGGUAACAGCCUAUAAUUUCUACAUGGCAAUUACAUCUGAUCAUGUGGCCUGAGCUGGGCCUGAGCAGCUGAACAUUUUGCCAAAAUGUCUCUUUUUCUUGUACCAGCAUCACGUUUGUCAGAAACACUUCGGAACACUUCGGUUGUGGAAAUUGAACCUUGGAAAAGCUUGCAACUGUACAUUCCUUUGCAACAUUUAUUCUGAAGGAUUUUGUAGUUUAAGAAUAACGUGCUGGUGGAGUUGAGCUUUCCGUUGCUGCCCAACAUAAAUAUGGAUUUGAAGCAGCCAUCUGAUAAAGGAUGUUCCUCUUGCUACCUGUACUGUUGUGUGUUUCAUCACACGAAGAAACACUUAGCUACAAUUGAAGUUUAGCGUUUAUGUUCGCGUAGUGGCUGUCCGAUGUGGCACGUUGUUGCAGCCUAUGCU